AGUAAAGGGAAGAUUUACUUUGUAUCGAUAAUGAAAGUAAACUUGAAGAUAAUUUGAUUCUUUCGAAUGACACAAUUUUGACACUUUUUUCUCCUGUCAUUUAUAGACAUCCAUGCAUUUUUAAAAAAAAAAAAAAAAAUGUUUUAAUAUCGCAGAAAUAUGCAGUUUGGUCAUUUUCCCGAGUCUUCAUGGAAAUAAACUGCAGCGCUUGAGCCAGUUAAAACAGCUGUUAGCAAAAAAAAAAAAACCGAAUUAAAAUAGAAACGAUAUUAAAGUUUAAGAGUCUAUGAUAAAAACUGAUUGCAUUAAUUGUAGUUUUAGAAUUUUUCCUCUGGGAGGAUUAAACGUCCCUCGGGGUCUUCUCAUUAUGAUUUCAUCAAUCAAGGAUUUAAGCUCAGCGCGUGCGCGCGCGCCGUGGCCUGUCUGCUUUGGAGGGGAGACGAAAAGAAUCCAGACCAGACAAGCUGCCGCGCGCCCAUCCAGACAGCGGCCUGGAUGCCUGGGAUGAGCGCGGGACGACGGUAGUACGCGCGAGAGCUUGGCCGGGCCACGUAGCGGGGCUGAGGACGCCGGUGCGCAGAUACCUCCGCAGUCUAUAGCGGACAUAAACAAAUAAGCGCCCACAUUUUGCACACAAAGACCAUUGGCAGUGCCCCGUCUAAAUGAACAUCCGUGAAUGAAAAGCGAGGGAGAGAGAGAGAGAGAGAGAGAAAUGCGUGUGCAACCCUGAAUCUGUGCAACUCUGAUUGCACGAACGCAAGAAGAAGGUCGCCCUGACGGAGGUAAUGCACAACAAAUGGCUGUUCAAGCAAGACGCAGAGGUCCUUACAGCAUUUCCGUUUUUGGUAUUCAGCUCAUCUUUACCUGCUCUGCUGUUUGAAGACUGGCACUCUGCAGGGCAGCAGCCUGCAGCUCAACAACUGGAGGGGAUAGUUUUAAAUGUUGAGAAUCAACGCUAAGACUUUGGUUUUGCUUUCUGAUUCUUAAGCACAUGGUACAAAAGUUGGAACUGAUUGUAUGUCAAUACAGCUGAAGUUCUUUGCUUGGACGGCAUGGAUGCUCUCUUUGAAUCAGGUUGACUGCUUCUCACCUCAUCCCCUCCUUCCUGUCUUUUCAGUAGAAGGAGGGUGGGGGAUUAGUGUGGUGUCCCCUGCCCCUCCUUGUAGGGUAGGCUAGUCUACCUAGUUACCACCGCUGUUACUCUUUUCCGUUGCCCUGUGCUCCUACUAACUGUUCCCCUCCAUACCUUCUCCCUCUUCAUGAAAUCCUGUCAAAGCCUCAAGGAAGAGGUUUCCAUCCCUAGUCUUGGCGGGAUGUCACAGGAGGAAGGACGUAGGGCACCGGUGUCCCAGUCCUACUUUCACUCUCCUAACCCAGACCUGGACUUGACGGGAAAGAUAUAUAAGCGGGAGGUUGGUGGUAAGCCUUAUUCUGUGUUAGUGGACAAUAAAAUGGCAGCCAAGACAUCCAUGGGAGAUCAGAACAUUGGUCAGGUACCCACUCAACACAUGACUCAACACCAACAUCAGCAGUAUUUCAGAGAGGGGGGCACUGGGCAGGAGGUGGGGACACAGGGGUCCCAGGCAGGCAAUGAUGGAUCCUCUGAUGAUACUGAAGAUGAUGAUGAUGAAGAUGAGGAAGAAGAGGGUGAGGAUGGUGAGGAGGGUUUCAAGCGUGAGCAAAUCAUUGUGGAGGUCAACCUGAACAACCAGACACUUCACGUAUCCAAAGGGGACAACAAAACUGGAACCACAGCAGAUGACUCUGAAAGAGCUGGAAGUGAUGAUGACGACGAUGAAGAGGAGGAAGAGGAGGAGGAGGAGGAAGAUGAGAGCCCUGAGGAAGACGAGGAGGAAGACGAGGUUGAAAGUCAAAGAACGCGGUCAAAGAGAACCCGUCGAGGGUCUAGUAGUGCAGCAGCUCCCAGCCAGCCGCGGAGGAAAAGUCUGCGAACAGCUCUGGGCGCUACCCCUGCUGGAAUGACCACCAGAGGGCGACGGAAACGCACAGAGCCUCCAAAGAGCAAAGGCAGGUCAGCUAGGUCAGCUCCCUCCUCUUCUCCUACUGUACCAUCAGGAGGAAAAGCAGAGGUGGAGGAGAAGGAGAUGCUGGCAUGUGAAAAAUGUCCUCGAGUAUUCAACACACGCUGGUACCUGGAGAAGCACAUGAAUGUUACACACAGACGAAUGCAGAUCUGUGACAAGUGCGGCAAGAAGUUUGUCUUGGAGAGUGAGCUAGCCUUGCACCAGCAGACUGAUUGUGAGAAGAACAUUCAGUGUGUUUCCUGCAGCAAGUCUUUUAAGAAGCUCUGGUCACUGCAUGAGCACAUCAAAAUUGUGCAUGGCUAUGCAGAAAAGAAGUUCUCAUGUGAAAUCUGUGAGAAGAAAUUCUACACUAUGGCUCAUGUCCGAAAGCACAUGGUUGCUCACACGAAGGACAUGCCAUUCACCUGUGAAACGUGUGGGAAGUCAUUUAAGCGCAGUAUGUCUUUGAAAGUUCACUCACUCCAGCACUCUGGAGAGAAGCCCUUUCGUUGUGAGAACUGUGACGAACGGUUCCAGUACAAGUACCAGCUGCGCUCCCACAUGAGCAUUCACAUCGGACACAAGCAGUUCAUGUGCCAGUGGUGUGGCAAAGACUUCAACAUGAAACAGUACUUUGAUGAGCACAUGAAGACACACACAGGGGAGAAGCCUUUCAUUUGUGAAAUCUGUGGGAAGAGCUUCACCAGCCGACCCAACAUGAAACGCCACCGCCGCACCCACACAGGCGAGAAGCCCUAUCCCUGCGAGGUGUGCGGCCAACGCUUCCGCUUCUCCAACAUGCUCAAAGCACACAAAGAGAAGUGUUUCCGGGUCACCAGCCCUGUUGUUCUGCAGACUAGCGGCCCACCUGUGCCUGUCCGGAUCUUUUCCAACACCUUCUCCUCAUCUUCCUCGACCUCUGGCCCCGGGCCCUCAGCUGCCACCCCGGCCACCACCUCAGCAACCAUGGGCCUCAACCCAACAGGAGGGUCUAUUCCUCCUCAAGGCACUGUGGGGCACACGUUCUCUCAUGUGCCACUGCACUCAGCGCCCUCUCACCAUCAUCCCCACCCCUCAUCAACCCAGCAGCACCUCUCAAGCACACCCCAACAUGCCCAACCUCACCCCCACCACCACCUAGCAGUGCCCCCUGUCUCCCACCUCCCCCCACCUCCAGCUCUUUUUAAGAGUGAGCCCCUAAACCACUGUGGGCACGAAGACAGCAGCUACCUGCACCACAUGGCCCCUCCCGAUAAGGGCCCCGGAGCCCCGCAGCACCACUGAACUGUGCUGCUGGUCUGCAGGCCAGCACCAAACCACGCCUUGUUCCACGUCUUCUCAUAGUCCUGCCUCAGUUUUUUAGUUUCAAGGCCCCCAAAGCCAUGUCUACAGAGAAGGCGUAGCGUGACCAGCACCAUUACUCAGUAUGUGUCUACACAGGAGACUUCAGGCACUAUAAUCAAAUGUGUGUUUUAUAAGUGCUCAGAGCCCAAUAAACAGCACUGUAAUUACGUGCUUGUGUAUAAAACAUUUGUGCAUAUAGUGCAAGUAAAACACAAUGCAUUACACAGUCGUGCUAACUGUUAUGAGUACUUAUCUUUUUCCCAUUAGAAAAGGAUGAGAUGGAUCACUGAAAAAUGUGGUUGAAGCUCUUUCUGUGUGGACAUAAAGCAAAGGUGCUCCUGUCGAACAGAUUUAGGUAACUCAAGCUAAACUUUACACACCCCUGUGUUUUCUGAAGAUACAGACUUAUGCACCCUCAGUGUACACAUCAUGUAACACCUCUACUUUAAAAUCCUGCUCAACUGACAAAUAUUUUACAAACUUUUCUUCAACAAUUUCUUCUACAGAAAACAAUUUUAGUGUAAGUUCUCAGUCUGUACAUUAUUUUCAUCAUAAGCUGCUGAUGGAAGUCGUCUCAUGUAUUACCUGGGCUUCACUGAUCAAAAGAUCAGUGUCACUGAUUUCUCCUUAUGUCAACUUGACCAUAAGGUUGCACAUUGGUCAGGGCUUGAGCUUUCUGUGCAGGUCCUCCCCAUAGCAAUACUGCACCUGUCCUCCUAGUUGUACUGCAGAGCCUCGGGGCCCCACAGAAACGUUUAAUGAAUGUUGUAACUGGUUCUACCUGAGCCUUUCUCUGUCUUAAGGUCAAGUCCUGGUCUUUCUGUCAGAGGGGCAACAGCAGUUGUGCAAGAUGCAGUGCCAUAGGUUACAGUAAGGAAGGGGGGAGGAACUUUGUAAAAGGACAUUUGGUCAAAAGAUUUUGUAAGUGGUUAAUUGAAUCUGGACUUAGUCUGAGAUUCAUUACGUGAUAAAAUGGUGCUUUCCAUUCCAGUACAUGAAAUAUUUCUUUUGUUUUUGCUUUUUUUUUUUUUCUUCUUAAUUUUCAGAAGUAUGAACUACAUAAUAGCAUUGUAUUGUGUCAUACAGAACAUGUCUUGCCAGUUGGGCUUUUCUACUGCGCAUUUAAGGUUUGACUAGAUAUUUUGUGAUCAAGACAACUCUAGUUAUGCAGGACAUUGCCUAGGCGUGUGCACACACUCACUCCUCACACUUUUUCAAGCACACGCAUACACACAAAAGACAAAGACCACAUGGUCACUGAUUUAUUUACUUUAAUCAGUGCUGCCUCAGCUUUCAAUACUGUUGGCCAACAGAAGCUUUUAGAUAACGGAUGACUGUCGAGUACUGCCACUGUGAGGGGCCAACCACGUGGCCCCAUCAGGAUAUAUCCCACCUCCCUUCGCUGCUGUCGAUGAUACGGGUUAUCAUGUUAAAGGUCAUUUGACACACACACACACACACAGUAUACACAACUGGGACCUUUACUCAUCAAAGUUCUUAAUGGGAAAUUAUGCAUAUUCCUCUCAGCCUAUAUUCCACGGUUUGGUGUGGGGUGGCGUUACUUUUUUAUUUUCUUUUGUACUUUGAUCGUACUGACACACAGGCAAAUGCAUGUCUAAAGUUGCUGAAUGUUGCCUACGCAGAAUGAUGGCCGAUAACUCGUAUGUAUGUUUUUGUUUUGUUUUUGUUUUUUUUGUUUUUUGUUUUAUUUAAUUUAAUGUCUUCUGCUCAGUUUUAAGCUAAUGAAUGCUUCUGUCAUGUAGAUAUACUGUUAUUAGCACAUGAUAGGAAAUGACAGGAUAAGAAGCAGUGGUCAUACAACUUCUAAUACUUGGAAUUCUUGUAUAGAUAAGCAUAUGUUUGAUCAAAUCAGCUAAAGAAAUUACAUUUAUUAAUGUAAUAGCCAACAGUGUGAAUGUUACUUGUGUAGAAGAAGAAAAAGGUUGGCUUGCGUUGGAAUGAAUUUGGGGUUGCUUGGUUUUCCCCUUCAUCCAGUCUGAUCGUGUGUUUAGAGUGUGUCUGUGUGCAAGUGUGUAUGAGUGCAUGCAGUCUGUGUCUGUCUGGUUGUCCCCAGUGCUCUUGUACCAAAAGCUGCUUUUACACAGUGUGCCCCAAUAUACGCCUAUUUUGGGAUACCUGACCUGAACAAUAGCAGUAAAUCUACAACGACCCUCUUUGUAUCAUUCUAAUGGUGUUCAGUCUGAAGUGGUUAAGCUCCAUAGUUUAGUCUCUUUUUGGAUUUGAGACCUGCAAUUAUCCUGCCAUUUCUGUGGGUCUUAAUACUGCUGCAUUAUUUGCUUAUCAUCCUGUCCCCUCUGGUUCACUGCUGUGAUUCAGCAUUUUGCAGUAUGGAUUUUUGUCUUUUUUUUUUUUCUUUUUUUUUUUAAAAAGCCUUUUCACUUGUGUGUAUUCUCUGCACUUUACUGCUGCGUGGGUGAGGCGCAGGGAAGGGAGGGAGGGGUGGGACUGACGAUGCAUUGUGGAACAGAGAGCAGUUGUGGCUGCAUGGGAAAGGGCGGAGAUGGAAGUGAUUACUUUGAGUGGAUGUUUUUUAGGCAAGGAAAGGAGGAGAAUCCCAGGUGGAGGUGGGUAGUGUGAAUUGGACCAUGGCAAAAUAAAGAACAUUUUCUUUCAGUGUGUGCUCAAAUCAAAUUCAUUGAAAUACACUUUUUGUUUUCUCCAGUAUGGGCUCCCUUUAAAGUGAAAGGGAUGUUCCUCCUGCUUUGGCGACUUUACACUAGCCCCUCCACGCACUUCUUUGUUUUUAUCUGUUCAUGGAGUUUUCCCCCUUCUCUGUGUCAUGUCUUGUUUUCUCUCUGUUUGCAGAAUGAUUCUCCUCCUCCUUUCUUUGUUAUAUAGAAUGCACUUUCUACUAAAUUUCUUGGGUAGUUAAGGAAAAAUAACAUUGUAUAUUCUUUAAAGAUGUUUUAAAAAAAAAUCAAUAUACUUUUCCCCUUUGUAUUUUUAACCACUUAAUGUAGCAUUGCGUAUUUUAUUAUUGUAUCUGGUACAAAAUGUGCAGCUUUAUGUCCUGGUUUGUCUUUUUUUUUUUUUUUUUUGUAUGUUAUCUGGGGAUUAAGGAGAAGUUUGAAAAAAAAGUUGGGCCUUUUUUGAUAAUGUACAUUUAACUGACUGCUAACUUUAAAAGUAAAAACAAGUAGCCAUGAUUAUUACAUCUGAGUUUCUGUUUGUGUUUUGCUUUGCUAGAUGCGGACGGUUAUGAAAUGCAGCAGGUCUGUUUAACUUUCAUACCUUGCUUUCCUGAAAAGUGUAGCUUGCUGCCACUGCACAGACUUUGCUUGAGGGCUCUUACUCUACUAUUUUUAGGUUCACUGGGUUCUUGGCAUAACAUGUUACCUAACAAUGGCUGCAGGCUACACAUGACCCUCAGGGUUCAACAACAGCUUUGCUUUGCUGAGCAUUUAUUUGACAAGAGAAGUUUUAGAUCCUCUUCUUUGUGAACACUUCCUGUUCACUUUAAAGUCACAGCAGGCUUUAUUGUAUUUGAGGGCAGUGAUCUUGACAGUCAAGUACCCACAUUGUACCUCUUAGAUAUGCAAAUGCACCUUGAGGCCAUAUAACUACUUACAUAGAUUACAAGAGGGUGUUUAAAAUUGACUUUUUGGAUAUCUCUUGUUGCAUCUCAGCCAGGUUUAUUCAUGCAUUAACAGCGUGUACCUCCACUGAGGUCACAUUAAGGCAUUUACUGUUGCUAGAAUACCUCCUAAAAUACUGUGUAUCCUCCAUCACCAUAGGAGGUUUUAAGUGGUGCACCAAUGAGUCACAUAAUCCUAUAAGGUAGCAGAGCGGGCUGAUGGGUAGAGAAAAGUGUGAGUGACUCACUGUUGGUGAGUGGGUGGUCAGGUACCAAGGCUCACUCCAUGAGCAGGGGAGAUAAUAACACACCGUCUGUACAUCUCCAUUCCCAUUUGGGCUUGAAAAUAGUCGGCCUCCCCAGCUGUUAGUCAUUACGCCUUGCGGUGUCGAGGAGGGAGGAGGCCCCCCCCCUCCGUCUGUCAGCAGGCAGAUAAAGAGAGGAGGGCUUCAUGCCAUGUUUUUGUAGGCAAGUGUGCACCGCUCUGAAACUUGCUGUGCGGUUCAUUAAUCAGUAUACUUGCAGGGUUUUAUCUAGACCGCUGUCUCGUGGAGAAACAAGCAGGCAACACAAACUCCCUUGCUGCGAUGCUAAUGUUUCCCUGUAGUUAAUAAACGAAAACACAACACUUCUCUCAGAUGUGAAAUGAUUUCGUUCCAGUCAUCCUCACAAAUGUCUCGCAUGUGGUACUUUGCCCCCGUUCCCUGUGCCGCCUUUGCAACAGAGUACUUAUUGGCCGGAAAUCCAGAUCAUCCUGGAUGAGGGAAGGUGCUUGUUCUCUUUGUAAGGACAUGAGAGAGCAUUAAAACUGUUUUCUGUUUUAAGUGAAUGCAGCUGAGUUACUUUAGCAAAUUCAGAUGAGACGGGGUUAUUCGGAUGUUAUCCCUGACUCUCCACUCCAAAUUGGAAUUACACAAAGAUGUAUAAAUGGGAAAACUUGAGAGCUUGACCUUUUCCCAUUGACCUCCCACUGCUACCAGAAGUGCUUAUCCUCUCUCUCACUCUCUUUUUUUUUUUUUUCGGUAAAUGCUCCAUUGUGUGGAUGUGACUAUGCCACGUUUGGAGCCAUGUAAAAAUACUAAUAGGCUACAUUUACGAGACUGGCGCACAUUUCUUCUACGGUUAUAUUCAAGGAACGGACUAUUUACUCUCGAUGGGUUUUUCUUCCUUCCUCCCCCUACUCCCACAAUCCCCUCUCUCCUCCACCUUUUAUAUCGUGAACGCGCGCAAUAGGCUGCUAUUAAAUGGGCGGACUCGGAGGCGCGGUCACGUUCAGAGCGGCUCCGGUGGGUUUGAGUGGCACAUAAAAGUGCGCGAGCCACCGGCCGACCGGCGGAACUCUACCUCUCCUCUAUGAGACCGGAUCGGAGCUGACUGACACCGGGGAUCGGAACCAGAGCCGGUGACUCAUCUGAACAAACCAGUCACACUUUGAAGGCAACUGGUUGGAUCUGGACUUCCACUGUAGACAUCAGGGAAAAUCCAAGAAGGUCACCCUCUACCUCACCGCGGCCCA